UCCGAUUCCUACAAACUUUGCUAAUCUCCUCUUACAUUCCUCAAAUCUUCUUAAAAUGGCACCAAAGGCUGAGAAAAAACCCGCAGAGAAAAAACCAGCUGCCGAAAAAGCCCCACCGCUGAGAAAUCAUCAAAGGCCGGCAAAAAGCUCCCGAAGGACGGCGCCGCUGCUGCCGGAGACAAGAAGAAGAAGAGGGGAAAGAAGUCAAUUGAGACUACAAGAUCUACAUUUUCAAGGUACUGAAACAAGUUCACCCUGAUAUCGGAAUUUCAAGCAAAGCUAUGGGUAUCAUGAACAGUUUCAUCAACGAUAUCUUCGAGAAACUUGCUCAGGAAUCUUCUAGAUUGGCCCGUUACAACAAGAAGCCUACGAUUACUUCUCGGGAGAUUCAGACUGCUGUGAGACUUGUACUUCCUGGUGAAUUGGCGAAGCGUGCUGUUUCUGAGGGUACUAAGGUUGUUACCAAAUUCACCAGCUCUUGAAAGUUGAUAGGUUUUUGUUAUUUUUUCCUUUUGGUUUCUGUUGCGUUUAUGAGUUCAAUUAGAGUUUGGUGAUGUAAAGAAGAACUUUUGGUGUAAUAUUUUACAGUUCUGCAUCUAUAGCAAAAUUGGAA